rnacentral:tRNA from 1 species
GCCCUUGUAGCCCAAUGGGUAGCGGCGGCUGAUUUAAGGAUCAGUAGAUCAGCAGGGUGGGGGUUCGAAUCCCUCCAGGGGCA